GGCUCGGUAGCUUAGUUGGUAAAGCGCUCGUCUAGCAUACAAGUGUCCUGGGUUCGAAUCCCAGCCGAGCAC
rnacentral:tRNA from 1 species